rnacentral:ncRNA from 2 species
UAAUUUAAUAGGGGAAUGAGUGAUUCUUUCCCGAGGGAAAGAAUUGAAAAGGGAAGUCAGUUGAAGCUGACGCGGUGCCCGCCACUGUAAAAGGGAGUUAACUCAUAGAAUGUCACUGGACAUAUCCGGGAAGACGUGAGUUGACGUAGAUCUUGAGCCAGGAGACCUGCUUAUUCCGAGUCAAACUA